rnacentral:rRNA from 1 species
CGGGGUGCAGCAGGCGCGAAAACUUUACAAUGCGGGAAACCGUGAUAAGGGGACACCGAGUGCCAGCAUCAUAUGCUGGCUGUCCGGGUGUGUAAAAUACACUCGUCAUGCAAGGACUGGGCAAGACCGGAGCCGGCAGUCGCGGUAAAUCUAAUGGCCCGAGUUGUCAUAGCGAUUAUUCGGUACAAAGGAUCGGCUUCCGGCAAGCUCAGUUCUCCAGGAAAUGUGAUAAAUGAAUCAAAAGUUUUUAGGCGGAUACAGCCAGGAUCGGAACCCUGAGAGGCCAGAGAUACUACAAGGGUCGGAGUCAAAUCUAGUAAUCCGCGGGGGAGACACAAGGGGGGAAGGGGUUUUCCCAGAACGGAUUCGACGGUGACGGACGUAAUCCGGGGCCAUGAACCGGAUAGGAUACCCGGGUAGUCCCACCCCUAAACGAUGCUCCCUAGGUUCUAGGCCAGGCGCAAACGUGUCAAAAGCUGCCGGGAAGCCGAGAAACUAACCACCUGCGAAGUACGGCCGCAAGGAUGAAACAUAAAGGAAUCGGCGGGGGACCAC